CAGCCGUAAACUAUGCGCGUUAGGUGUAUCGGUGACCACGAGUCACCGAGGUGCCGAAGGGAAACCGUGAAACGUGCCGCCUGGGAAGUACGGUCGCAAGGCUGAAACUUAAAGGAAUUGGCGGGGAGCACCACAACGGGUGGAGCCUGCGGUUUAAUUUGGACUCAACGCCGGGAAGCUCACCGGAUAAGACAGCGGAAUGAUUGCCGGGCUGAAGACUCUGCAUGACUAGCUGAGAGGAGGUGCAUGGCGUAGACGUCU
rnacentral:rRNA from 1 species